AUGGCUCGGGCUACUAAAGGUCCCGUAGUGAAGUCCAUCCCUCCCACUGCUAGGACAGCACACUCAGACUCACUUACUGCCCAGAGCCUUGGAAUUUUACGAAUCAUGAAUCGUCCGGCACAAUGGGUGGUCAUCAUCACACUUCUGAUUUCUUGGUCAAUAGCAGGUGUUAUCAUGUUUGAUUUUGUCAGUGACAAUCAGAUUGCAAGCAUCCAGGAUUUUGGCUCUGAUCCAGUGCUAGCAGUGAGCAAGGCCAUUGAAGGCAUUGAAAAAAGGAUAAACCAUAUGAACGACAUGCUUUAUGAUGCUAUCGAGUAUGCCACUGAAAUAAUAUUUAAUCCGAGGGACGCUAUUAGUUUAGCAGCCGACUCUUCUGUGUCUUAUCUGUCAGGAAUAUUUAGUGCCGAUGGAGAUUCAGGAGUCACUGAAACAGUGAAAUAUGCUGGCACUGUAUUGGAUGAAGCUACAGAAUGGAUCAGAACUCCAGUGAGCUACUUUUUCCACUUGUUUGAAGACAUAUUGGCUAUAGCGAUUACUCCAGUGGACAUGAUCACUGAAGUUGCUGUGCAAAUUUUAAGUGGGAUCAAGACCAUUAUACAAUACAUUUCAGCCAUGUUUGGGGGUAUUGAAGGCAUCACUGAAACAGUGAAACUUGGUGGCACUGUAUUGGAUGAAGUUACUGAAUGGAUUAGAUUCCCAGUGGGCUACUUAUUCCACUUAUUUGAAGACAUCUUGGAUGUAGCAAUCAUUUAUCCAGGGGACAUUGCCACUGAAGCAGUUCUGCAAAUUUUAAGUAGGAUCAAGACCAUUUCUUCAGCCAUAUUUGGGUACAUUGAAGCUUGGUUUCCCAAAUUGAGCACGGAUCCUGAAGGACUGGCUGUAAUUGUUGUAGAGGAGGCCACAGACAUAAAGACCACUGUCUCUAAUUACCUAACCAGUCUGAUAACAGUGGAUGAAGGGGGUAUUCCUGACAUUAGCUUUGAUCCCAUGAAAGUUGUCACAGACACUGUUGAGGAGUUUGCUGACAGGAGAGAUAUGUUCAUGGCCUAUCUCUUCAACAUGGAAGACAAAGGUGACACACCGCAAGUUAUAAGACGAAAAGGAGAAUUUCUGCCACCUAUAGAAAAAGUUCUUGAACAAGUGAAAGAAGCCAAAGAGAAAAAAGCUAGAGAAGAGAUUUACAAAAUCAUUCAAGAUAUGAGGGAAAAGGAGGCUGAAGGUAAAGAGGAAGAGAUAACACUUCAACAAAUAAAUAUAACAGUAGAAAAAGUCAAGAAGGAAAAGAAGAUAGAAAAGGCUAAAAGAAAAGAAAAAUCCAAAGAGGACGAGACUCGAGAACCAGCAGAAAAGGACACCAAGAAAACAACUGAGAAAAAGGUCAAGGUGACUAAAGUGGACCAGGAAGCCCCUAUAAAAAAGAAGAAAUCUGAACUUAAAAUGGCCAAAAAAGAGACCAAACCAGCACAAUCUAAGAAAGAGCCUCGAGUUACAAAAGAAAAGGCUAAACCAGCUCGUUCAAAGAAAGUUGCUGUUGAAAAACCAAAACUUGCUCCUGGAAAGAAAGAGCCUAAGGUUUCUAAAGAGAAGGCCAAGCUGAAACCCUCAAAGAAAGCUGAAGAGAAACAAAGACCUGUUCCUGUGAAGAAAAAGGCUUUAGCACCCAAGGACAAAAUUAAACCGGCCCUUUUGAAAAAAGAAGAAAAGCCAACAACCACCACUGUUAAAAAAGAGCCUGCAGUUGCAAAAGAGAAAGUCAAACCAGUGCCUUCAAAGAAAGAUACUGAAGCUACUAAGGAUAAAGUGAAACCAGCCCCAGUUAAGAAAGAACCUGCAGUUUCAAAAGGGAAAGCAAAAGCCAAAAGUUCCAAAAAAGAGGCAGAAGUUGCCAAAGACAAGCAUAAACCUGUCGCUGUGAAGAAAGAAACUGCUGUUGCAGUUAAAAAAGCAAAACCAAAAGCUGAACCAAAGAAAGUUACCAAAGAGAAAGCUAAAGCAGAACCUGCAAAGAAAGAACCUGAGAUAACCAAAGGAAAACUGAGGGCACCAAAGAAAGAGGCUAAAGUCAUCAAGGUGGAAACCAAACCAGCUCCUGCAAAGAAAGAGGCUAAAGUCAUCAAAGGUGUUAAACCAGCUCCUAAGAAGAAAGAGCCUGAAGUAAUCAAGAAGAAAGUUAAACUGGCUCCUGUAAAGAAAAGUAUGAAUCUCAAUGAAAUCAUGCUGAAUAUGUUGUUGUUGUUCCACUUUAUAAUGAUCAUUUAUUACAUUUUACAGAGCAUGGAAGUUGCUAAAAAAAAGGCACUUGUCCUAAAACCCAAAAAAGGUUAGUUCUUGAACCUUUAAAAACAUUUACUGAAUUUAAAUUUACUGUCAGUUAUCUUUAUCCUACCAUUUCAGAAGCUCUUAAAGUUAACAUUAUGGAAAGUUAAUUAUCUAUUUAUUUUAUAGAGCCUGAAGUUAUCAAAAAGAAACCAGCAUCUCCAAAGAAAG
ensembl:lncRNA